AGAGAGAUGGCUUAGUGGUUAAGAGCACUGACUGAUGUUCCAGAGGAGCUGGGUUCAAUUCCCAGGUUGUUCCA
rnacentral:tRNA from 1 species